UGCUGUUUCGCUGACGAGUGGCGGACGGGUGAGUAAUGUCUGGGAAACUGCCUGAUGGAGGGGGAUAACUACUGGAAACGGUAGCUAAUACCGCAUAACGUCGCAAGACCAAAGAGGGGGACCCUCGGGCCUCUUGCCAUCGGAUGUGCCCAGAUGGGAUUAGCUUGUUGGUGGGGUAACGGCUCACCAAGGCGACGAUCCCUAGCUGGUCUGAGAGGAUGACCAGCCACACUGGAACUGAGACACGGUCCAGACUCCUACGGGAGGCAGCAGUGGGGAAUAUUGCACAAUGGGCGCAAGCCUGAUGCAGCCAUGCCGCGUGUAUGAAGAAGGCCUUCGGGUUGUAAAGUACUUUCAGCGGGGAGGAAGGGAGUAAAGUUAAUACCUUUGCUCAUUGACGUUACCCGCAGAAGAAGCACCGGCUAACUCCGUGCCAGCAGCCGCGGUAAUACGGAGGGUGCAAGCGUUAAUCGGAAUUACUGGGCGUAAAGCGCACGCAGGCGGUUUGUUAAGUCAGAUGUGAAAUCCCCGGGCUCAACCUGGGAACUGCAUCUGAUACUGGCAAGCUUGAGUCUCGUAGAGGG
rnacentral:rRNA from 1 species